GACGAACGCUGGCGGCGUGCUUAACACAUGCAAGUCGAGCGGUAAGGCCCCUUCGGGGGUACACGAGCGGCGAACGGGUGAGUAACACGUGGGUGACCUGCCCUCAGCUCUGGGAUAAGCCUGGGAAACUGGGUCUAAUACCGGAUAUGACUCCAUGAUGCAUGUUGUGGGGUGGAAAGCCUUGUGCGGCUGAGGAUGGGCCCGCGGCCUAUCAGCUUGUUGGUGGGGUGAUGGCCUACCAAGGCGACGACGGGUAGCCGGCCUGAGAGGGCGACCGGCCACACUGGGACUGAGACACGGCCCAGACUCCUACGGGAGGCAGCAGUGGGGAAUCUUGCGCAAUGGGCGAAAGCCUGACGCAGCGACGCCGCGUGAGGGAUGACGGCCUCGG
rnacentral:rRNA from 1 species